AUUUAUGUAGUUUAUGUAAAAACUUAUCAUUUUCAAUGAUAAAAUAGGUCAAACCCUUUUAAAUA
rnacentral:tRNA from 1 species